UUGCACUUGGAUUGGUGAUUAGUUCAAUUUUUUUAAUCGAAGUAGACGGAAUUUGUUUUAGUAAUUGUGCAGCAUCAAUAGUGCUCAC
rnacentral:tRNA from 1 species